GGAUAUCGACCAUUGAUUCAUCAGAUAAUAAUGAAUUUCUUCAGAUAGAAAAAUCAAAUUUCAUCUCAUUGGUUGUCAAGAUAUUAACUUUCUUCAUAGCAUGGAGCAUCAAGAUAUUCUCUUAUGUUGUUUUAGUGUCCUGUCUUCUUGUGCUCUAAGGACUCGUCUGUAUUACAAGGAUGGAAAUUUGUUUCAACGAAUCA